rnacentral:lncRNA from 1 species
AUGCAUUCCAGAUCUCACUUUCUGUGUCCUUUGCAGGCUCUGUUUCAUUUCACAGACUGGGCCAGAUGAGGUAGGUUCAUGGAGCACCACUGGGGUUCCUCCUUUCCCUGGAACUGUCAAGGCACAGAAGAAGGGAGAAUUCUGAACAAAGCAGAUUUUAAAUAUAUUUGUCACGAAGUGCACAACCUCCAUCCUGAGGGUUGA